AUGACAGCGCAAGACCCCAUCUCAAAAAAGAAGAAAAACUUGUCAAUACAGAAUAUCGUCUCUCCAGGUGGGGGUGGGAGGUGUCAGCUUAAGCAUACCUGCAGUAGGAAGAUAUCGUAAGAAAAACCACCCUAAGAGAAUCUUGUAUGUACAGCAUGUGGUAGGCAAGUUGGUGGUGAAUGGAGAACGGUGUGCGUUCUCGGGCCCCUCUCUCAUUGGCUUAUUGUCCCUCCUGUCCAGGAAAAGAAAGAAAUACAUUUGGUUGAGGGGACUUAUCUCUAACAGCAGCCUCUUGUUGAUCUUCCCAGACAAACCCCCCACACCACCGCCCCCCUGGGCUGGACCUCUCUCUACAGCUAGGAGCCAAUGGCAGAUGACAAAACUAAACCAAGUGAGCUGGACCAAGCGAAAUAGGAUGCUGAUGACAACGUGAAGAUCAUCCACCUGGGAGACAGCGCAGUGGGCAAAUCCGAACUCAUGGAGCGAUUUCUCAUGGAUGGAUUACAGCCACAGC